CCAUCCCACUCCCGCCUGUUCUGUUCAGCCCCGCCAUGUUGGUUGAGAUGGACAAGAUUUCUCCAUCUCACCUUGGCUCAGUUUUGAGUACUGCUACCUUUCCUACAGGAAAGAAGAUGUCUCCACCGAGACGUCAGAAAGCUGUUGCCCGGAGGACGUGCCAGUCUGCUGGUACCUCCAAGUCCACCUCUGGGAUGUAGGAGCACAAGCCGGUUGUGGAGGUGACGUGCCACCAGUCACCUCCCAGCUCCUCUCCUGGGAUGGAGGUGGGAACCUUCUCACCUUCCAGUUUUGCAAUGGAGGAGGACCAGGCGGUUGUACAGGUGAACUCCUCUGUUGCAGUGGCA